UCAAGAGGGGGAGAGGCAGAGAGCCAUUAGUUGUGGACAGCAAAUCUUGAAGAACAUUACAAGCUGGGAAAGGACGGGUGAAGGAAUAUGUUGAGGUCCCAACCGCCCAACAUCUCUACGAGAGGCAACUAUGGCAAAGGACUUUUUGAUCAAGAGAUGGGACCUUUGCAGAGACAGCUCAGCCAUGGAGAAUAUAAUUUACUCAGGUUUGCCCCCAUGUUGGAAAGCGAAUUUUUGCAGAUUAACAAGCGAGGAGAGGUGAUUGAUGUGCACAAUCAAGUGGAGACGGUGACUGUUGCCAUGGCCUGCACAAGCCCCAAUCUUCAGCUUCCCAAUGUGUUGCUUCUGGCGCGUCCCAUCUUCCCUGCAGUUCCCAUCUUAAAGUAUAAACAUUUGCGCAGCCGCCCAACUAAGAAACUUGAGCUCACCAGGCUCCUCCCGUUGCAUUUUGUCAAGAUUUCAGUGCACAACCAUGAGAAGAAGCAGCUGCGAUUCAAACUGGCGAGCGGCCGCACCUUCUACUUGCAGCUCAGCCCCCAGCCUGGACUACAAGAAGAUACCUUUGGAUUAUGGGUUAAGGUGAUCAACAUGUUGGGGCCCCCCUCAGUCUCAACAAGUGAACUGCAAAGCAAUGUCGAAGAGCCAGCGGUGCCGGCAGAGCUCCCACCCCAGAAGCCACAGAGUCCAUCUGUCUCCUUGGAUUUAGUGGAAACGGUGAGCAUCCGGAGUCUCUACUCACCUCCUGAACUAGCUAGCCCCGAGCAGGAAGAUGCCAGGAGCAGGCAGAGCAUGGUCUUAUCUGUGGGGAGUCUACAAGGUCCUGGAUUUCUCAGUAGGCCUCCUGUCACCAGCGAAGAACGGAUACCUGAUUCCGACACCUACACACUAGCUGAAGGGUUUGCCGCAGGAGAAACUUUUGAGAAGUCCGUCAGUCCCAGGAGCCAUGGCAGAGAAACAGAUACAUCAGAGAGCAGCCCUCCCCCUAGAAGGGAAGCCACUAAGAGCAGAAGUGCUAGUCGAUCUGGCAGGAGGAAGUCUUCUCCAAGAGGGACAAGCCGGAAGCCCAGCAAGAUCAUCUCCCUCAUCCGAGCCUGCUCCUGGGGGGGUCGGCAGAGGAGCAAGAGCCAAGAGUCCAAGACCAAAGGCAAAGGGAAGAAACGCUGAGCAAACCGAAAGGGGGUCCCAACACAGAGGAGCCUCUUUGCCACUGUGUCAUAAUAAAGAGACUGGUUUUAAAAAAUAAUUCCGUCUCACUCGGCAUUUUCCAUGACUACUUUUAACCCAUAAUUCUUAGGGUCUGAGUCAUCCUAACCAGAUGUUGCAGCAUCAGGACCAGAGGUCAAGUAAUGUCUCUAGAUGGAGAUUUCAAAAUUAUUGGGCUUCCUCCUGAAGUACCAGGUUUCACCUCAAGCAACAUAACAACAAUUGUCUUCCCUCAUUCUGUAGACAAAAGAUUGUCAGUCACCAAGAACGUCCUUUGCUCCCUCU